rnacentral:lncRNA from 1 species
GCAUGGAGCAUCCCAGAGGCUGUGGACAUUAGGAUCAUACUCGAACUUUCUGAAGGUUUUGUUUGGUCAGAUUCAUGGAGCGGAGGAUGCCUGUUGUUCUUCACAAAGCCCCUGUGAUAUGAUUCUUUUCACCCAAACUUCUUCCAGAGCUCUGGAGAUUUAGUCAAGUCCAGUGUGCUUGAAAAGAUUUUUUUUCUCUUUCCUUUUUCACUUUUGGUGGCGCAAUCCCUGUUGACAGCUUGGCUUUGGAGGGUUUCAUCUUACCAGCAACUGGGCUGCCAUGGGGCUUGGCUUCCCAGUGUGGAGGUGCAGGGGUCUCUGAGCGAGCCCACACAUUCUGCGUCCUUGUCACACUGCUCUACACCCCGGGGUUUUCAGUAAAGGCUCUUUCCUGACAAAUUAAGUCCAAAGGGUGAUGGGAAACACAGUAACCUUUCUCUGUUCUUUUCAUGGUUUCCUGCCAGGAUUUGCUGUUUGGUGACAUGGGAACACUGCACUAAGAUGACUUUUCCGCGAGUUGAUCACUGAUGAUUUUGGCUGUGACACAGAGCAUUAUUAGUAGUGCGACUGACUAACAUGAAUAAUAGUGAUUCUCAUAACAAAAGGAAUGUAGCCACAAUAAGAGAAAAAUCUUAGCCAACAGAAUGAUUUGAGGAAAACGCUAUUGAUAAUGAAAUGGGGCUUAUUGAAUUAACUGUUCCAUUUAGCAGACACAUGAGCAGAACCCAGGAUGGAAGAAUGUAAUCACCAGCGUGACUCCAGUGAUGGAGAUGAACUAGAUGUGGAGACUGGGGAGCAGCAGAGUCAACUCAGUUAUCAUCUUGGCGGCCGGGCUGCCGUCCAGCUCACAGAAGCCACCUGAUCCGGAAAAGAUUUCCAACGCCUGCUGGAAUGAAAUCAACCUGAGCAUUUGAGAGUGGGCAUCCUGGCUGAGGCAGCCAUGGUGGAAAUCAGAGACUCCAGGAUUGCCAUCACAAGUUCUGAAUCCAGGUUAACUACUAGGUGAUCUUAGGCUAUUGGCUUCUGAGAUACUCCAUUUUUUUAUGUUGGAAUUAUUAUGAAAAUUAAACAAGUUUAUAAGGAUGGAGGGUUUUUUUUCUUGAGUUUACCCAGAAAAAUGAUUCUCAUUAGUUCAUUAUCUGAUUUCAAUGAUUUAGAAAGUUAAUGAACACAUGUACAGACUGACCUGUUUAAUACUCAAACACCAUCAAGACCAUCUUUCUCUGAGGUAGCCCUGUAUCAAAAAGCAAUGGCUGUGCGUCCUUAAAAUGAUGUCUCCUUUAUUUAAAGAUAUGUGGUCUACCCUCAUUUUUCUCUGCCUUUGAUAAAUCACCUGCAUUCAUUUAACCUUUUUCCUGAGUUUUCACUCUCCACCCCUUUAAUCAUUUUCACUGCUCUGUCUUGGACCCCCUCCAAUUUCUCUGUACCUUUUGGAAAAUUAGAAUCCCCAAACUGCACAUAACACUCUAAUAAGGGCCAAGUCAAUGCCAAAUAUAGCUCAUGACACUCUUUCUUGUCACUUGAGUGACAGACAACACUGUUAAGACUUCUCAGUAGCAUAACAGUGUUAAAAGACACACAUCUACAUGGCAGACCCCAAGAUCAAACUUCAAGGACGUGAUCGGCAUGCACUUAUGGAAGGAACUUAAUG